GCAGAUCACUUGAUGCAUGCUGAGACGGAGAUUUACAUUCCUACAACUUGGGAAAGUAUCAACAUCCUACAUUAAACAAUGGACAAGAAGAUUCUGAUAAUAAUAAUGGUUUUAUGCAAUAAGGCAGUAUUAUAGUAGAUCACUCAAGGCAUGCUGAGACAUUUAUUAACAUUUUCGGAAUUUGGGAAAGUUUCAACAUCCCACAUUGAUCAUGGACUUGAAGAUUCUGAUAAUAAUAAUGAUUUUAUGCAAUGUACUUGUAAUGAAUAUAAAAUAUGGUAGUACAGCAGAUCACUUGAUGCAUGCUGAGACGGAGAUUCACAUUCCUACAACUUGGGAAAGUAUCAACAUCCUACAUUAAACAAUGGACAAGAAGAUUCUGAUAAUAAUAAUGGUUUUAUGCAAUAAGGCAGUAUUAUAGUAGAUCACUCAAGGCAUGCUGAGACAUUUAUUAACAUUUUCGGAAUUUGGGAAAGUUUCAACAUCCCACAUUGAUCAUGGACUUGAAGAUUCUGAUAAUAAUAAUGAUUUUAUGCAAUGUACUUGUAAUGAAUAUAAAAUAUGGUAGUACAGCAGAUCACUUGAUGCAUGCUGAGACGGAGAUUCACAUUCCUACAACUUGGGAAAGUAUCAACAUCCUACAUUAAACAAUGGACUAGAAGAUUCUGAUAAUAAUAAUGGUUUUAUGCAAUAAGGCAGUAUUAUAGUAGAUCACUCAAGGCAUGCUGAGACAUUUAUUAACAUUUUCGGAAUUUGGGAAAGUUUCAACAUCCCACAUUGAUCAUGGACUUGAAGAUUCUGAUAAUAAUAAUGAUUUUAUGCAAUGUACUUGUAAUGAAUAUAAAAUAUGGUAGUACAGCAGAUCACUUGAUGCAUGCUGAGACGGAGAUUCACAUUCCUACAACUUGGGAAAGUAUCAACAUCCUACAUUAAACAAUGGACAAGAAGAUUCUGAUAAUAAUAAUGGUUUUAUGCAAUAAGGCAGUAUUAUAGUAGAUCACUCAAGGCAUGCUGAGACAUUUAUUAACAUUUUCGGAAUUUGGGAAAGUUUCAACAUCCCACAUUGAUCAUGGACUUGAAGAUUCUGAUAAUAAUAAUGAUUUUAUGCAAUGUACUUGUAAUGAAUA